rnacentral:lncRNA from 1 species
ACUCUCCCUCAGGAAUUUCACUCCACAGUGGUCACCAGAUCUCCUAGUGGGGCCGAACAAGAGAUUUAAUUGGAACAUUGCACCUCCGAGCAAAUUGAACUCCGUAUCGGCAAUUCCGAUCCCAGCCUGCACAAGGUCUCCACCAUGCACAUAGGAUCGCAGCUGCAAAUAGACUAUCCUCCAACAAUUUAUAGUUAUACCGUAUACAUCCAAACUUCUCCAUUGGUUAGAUUUACCUGCAAAUCCAUAUUUGGUCUAUCUGUAAGCAUGAUCUGUCUACGGAUCUAUUAGUAAUUUGACUGAAAGAGAUUUCUCUAAAAAAGGAGUUGUGCUGCUCCUGGAAUGAGUUACGUGCUUUUUAUUGGGAUUGCUGGUCGUGGUGGUUUCCUUUUGGGACAAAGCUAUUCACAUCCCAUCUGAAAUUGACAUACUCAGGUAUUAAAUGUCACUAGAUUCUGCUUCAUGCUUCCAUUUUUCCUUGGGACAAAAAAGGUACAUUGAUGCAGUUUGAUUAAGCAGAGUAAUCUGACUUCAACAAUAUUUUUCCUCUAUCAUUGUCCGACGACAAAUGUUUUUGUCGCUAUCAUUGUCCUCCAAGCAAAUUUGUGCUGAUACAUUAUCCCAGUGUCAACACCUGCCUAAGACAAAACUACAGAAUGUUGGUCGAGAUUUGGGCAGAGCGGUCGAGUCACACUGAAAGACUAUGUAGCUCAAAAGUAUAAUGAGCAUCAGUCACGUAGCUUCACAGAGCCAUUGCCAAUUAGCAAGCAUCAUUUCCACUGCACAGCACUACUACAGUCAGGGAGUUGUUGCCGAUUACAAGCUACAGUAAGCAAUCACAGUAGGAGAUGCUGACAUCCAUAGACGCCGUAAAGAACGCCGCAGGUAUUCUUGUAGAAAUACUGGAUCUGGAGCAAGUCCCUUUGGCCGCUGAAGACAUCUCAAACUAAGCAGGGCGUCAGAGGCAGCCUGGUGCCCCUUCCCAGUCCUCUUCGCUCCAAGUUCUGUAGCAACCGCAUAAAGCUUUCCCGGAACUCUCUCCUUGUUGAUACACUUGCCGUACUUUGAGAACGACUUGCAGUCAAAUGAUGAAGGGAAAUACUCUACGACUUGCAACAGGAACUGGAGUCGUGUUUCUGGCAAUGGAUCCUUCGUUAGGAGAUUUAUAAUGAGUCCAAAAUCUUGAUAACCCAUAAAGGUAACCCAGGUGACAUUCUUGUUCUGCAGGAGACCGGACUCACGUAACAUGUUCUUGAACUCCGAGGCUGGAAGUCCCUUUGUCGCAUGCUCCUCUAAUAUCAGUGCACUCUCCCUCAGGAAUUUCACUCCACAGUGGUCACCAGAUCUCCUAGUGGGGCCGAACAAGAGAUUUAAUUGGAACAUUGCACCUCCGAGCAAAUUGAACUCCGUAUCAGCAAUUCCGAUCCCAGCCUGCACAAGGUCUCCACCAUGCACAUAGGAUCGCAGCUGCAAAUAGACUAUCCUCCAACAAUUUAUAGUUAUACCGUAUACAUCCAAACUUCUCCAUUGGUUAGAUUUACCUGCAAAUCCAUAUUUGGUCUAUCUGUAAGCAUGAUCUGUCUACGGAUCUAUUAGUAAUUUGACUGAAAGAGAUUUCUCUAAAAAAGGAGUUGUGCUGCUCCUGGAAUGAGUUACGUGCUUUUUAUUGGGAUUGCUGGUCGUGGUGGUUUCCUUUUGGGACAAAGCUAUUCACAUCCCAUCUGAAAUUGACAUACUCAGGUAUUAAAUGUCACUAGAUUCUGCUUCAUGCUUCCAUUUUUCCUUGGGACAAAAAAGGUACAUUGAUGCAGUUUGAUUAAGCAGAGUAAUCUGACUUCAACAAUAUUUUUCCUCUAUCAUUGUCCGACGACAAAUGUUUUUGUCGCUAUCAUUGUCCUCCAAGCAAAUUUGUGCUGAUACAUUAUCCCAGUGUCAACACCUGCCUAAGACAAAACUACAGAAUGUUGGUCGAGAUUUGGGCAGAGCGGUCGAGUCACACUGAAAGAGUAUGUAGCUCAAAAGUAUAAUGAGCAUCAGUCACGUAGCUUCACAGAGCCAUUGCCAAUUAGCAAGCAUCAUUUCUACUGCACGGGACUACUACAGUCAGGGAGUUGUUGCCGAUUACGAGCUACAGUAAGCAAUCACAGUAGGAGAUGCUGACAUCCAUAGACGCCGUAAAGAACGCCGCAGGUAUUCUUGUAGAAAUACUGGAUCUGGAGCAAUUCCCUUUGGCCGCUGAAGACAUCUCAAACUAAGCAGGGCGUCAGAGGCAGCCUGGUGCCCCUUCCCAGUCCUCUUCGCUCCAAGUUCUGUAGCAACCGCAUAAAGCUUUCCCGGAACUCUCUCCUUGUUGAUACACUUGCCGUACUUUGAGAACGACUUGCAGUCAAAUGAUGAAGGGAAAUACUCUACGACUUGCUACAGGAACUGGAGUCGUGUUUCUGGCAAUGGAUCCUUCGUUAGGAGAUUUAUAAUGAGUCCAAAAUCUUGAUAACCCAUAAAGGUAACCCAGGUGACAUUCUUGUUCUGCAGGAGACCGGACUCACGUAACAUGUUCUUGAACUCCGAGGCUGGAAGUCCCUUUGUCGCAUGCUCCACUAAUAUCAGUUCACUCUCCCUCAGGAAUUUCACUCCACAGUGGUCACCAGAUCUCCUAGUGGGGCCGAACAAGAGAGUUAAUUGGAACAUUGCACCUCCGAGCAAAUUGAACUCCGUAUCGGCAAUAGAUCCCAGCCUGCACAAGAUCUCCACCAUGCACAUAGGAUCGCAGCUGCAAAUAGACUAUCCUCCAACAAUUUAUAGUUAUACCGUAUACAUCCAAACAUCUCCAUUGGUUAGAUUUACCUGCAAAUCCAUAUUUGGUCUAUCUGUAAGUAUGAUCUGUCUACGGAUCUAUUAGUAAUUUGACUGAAAGAGAUUUCUCUAAAAAAAGAGUUGUGCUGCUCCUGGAAUGAGUUACGUGCUUUUUAUUAGGAUUGCUGGUCGUGGUGGUUUCCUUUUGGGACAAAGCUAUUCACAUCCCAUCUGAAAUUGACAUACUCAGGUAUUAAAUGUCACUAGAUUUUGCUUCAUGCUUCCAUUUUUCCUUUGGGACAAAAAAGGUACAUUGAUGCAGUUUGAUUAAGCAGAGUAAUCUGACUUCAACAAUAUUUUUCCUCUAUCAUUGUCCGACGACAAAUGUUUUUGUCGCUAUCAUUGUUCUCCAAGCAAAUUUGUGCCGAUACAUUAUCCAGUUGUCAACACCUGCCUAAGAUAAAACUACAGAAUGUUGGUCGAGAUUUGGGCAGAGCGGUCGAGCCACACUGAAAGAGUAUGUAGCUCAAAAGUAUAAUGAGCAUCAGUCACGUAGCUUCACAGAGCCAUUGCCAAUUAGCAAGCAUCAUUUCCACUGCACAGGACUACUACAGUCAGGGAGUUGUUGCCGAUUACGAGCUACAGUAAGCAAUAGCUUCACAGAGCCAUUGCCAAUUAGCAAGCAUCAUUUCCACUGCACAGGACUACUACAGUCAGGGAGUUGUUGCCGAUUACGAGCUACAGUAAGCAAUCACAGUAGGAGAUGCUGACAUCCAUAGACGCCGUAAAGAACGCCGCAGGUAUUCUUGUAGAAAUACUGGAUCUGGAGCAAGUCCCUUUGGCCGCUGAAGACAUCUCAAACUAAGCAGGGCGUCAGAGGCAGCCUGGUGCCCCUUCCCAGUCCUCUUCGCUCCAAGUUCUGUAGCAACCGCAUCAAUCUUUCCCGGAACUAUCUCCUUGUUGAUACACUUGCCGUACUUUGAGAACGACUUGCAGUCAAAUGAUGAAGGGAAAUACUCUACGACUUGCAACAGGAACUGGAGUCGUGUUUCUGGCAAUGGAUCCUUCGUUAGGAGAUUUAUCAUGAGUUCAAAAUCUUGAUAACCCACAAAGGUAACCCAGGUGACAUUCUUGUUCUGCAGGAGACCGGACUCACGUAACAUGUUCUUGAACUCCGAGGCUGGAAGUCCCUUUGUCGCAUGCUCCUCUAAUAUCAGUGCACUCUCCCUCAGGAAUUUCACUCCACAGUGGUCACCAGAUCUCCUAGUGGGGCCGAACAAGAGAUUUAAUUGGAACAUUGCACCUCCGAGCAAAUUGAACUCCGUAUCAGCAAUUCCGAUCCCAGCCUGCACAAGGUCUCCACCAUGCACAUAGGAUCGCAGCUGCAAAUAGACUAUCCUCCAACAAUUUAUAGUUAUACCGUAUACAUCCAAACUUCUCCAUUGGUUAGAUUUACCUGC